rnacentral:rRNA from 1 species
CUACAAGGGUUUCUAAUCCUGUUUGCUCCCCAUGCUUUCGUACCUCAGCGUCAGUAUUAGGCCAGAUGGCUGCCUUCGCCGUCGGUAUUCCUCCAGAUCUCUACGCAUUUCACCGCUACACCUGGAAUUCUACCAUCCUCUCCCAUACUCUAGCUGCCCAGUACCGAAUGCAAUUCCUAAGUUAAGCUCAGGGAUUUCACAUCCGACUUAAGAAGCCGCCUACGCACGCUUUACGCCCAGUUAAUCCGAUUAACGCUCGCACCCUCUGUAUUACCGCGGCGGCUGGCAC